AACCAGCACCUCAAGUGGUCAGGAGGAUUAUUGGGCCUAAAGCAUCCGUAGCCUGUUCUAUAAGUUUGCGGUUAAAUCUAUACGCUCAACGUAUAGGCUGCUGUAAAUACUGUAGAACUAGGGAGUGGGAGAGGUAGACGGUACUCGGUAGGAAGGGGUAAAAUCCUUUGAUCUAUCGACGACCACCUGUGGCGAAGGCGGUCUACCAGAACACGUUCGACGGUGAGGGAUGAAAGCUGGGGGAGCAAACCGG
rnacentral:rRNA from 1 species